AUUGAACGCUGGCGGCAGGCUUAACACAUGCAAGUCGAGCGGAGAUGAGGUGCUUGCACCUUAUCUUAGCGGCGGACGGGUGAGUAAUGCUUAGAAAUCUGCCUAUUAGUGGGGGACAACAUUCCGAAAGGAAUGCUAAUACCGCAUACGCCCUACGGGGGAAAGCAGGGGAUCUUCGGACCUUGCGCUAAUAGAUGAGCCUAAGUCGGAUUAGCUAGUUGGUGGGGUAAAGGCCUACCAAGGCGACGAUCUGUAGCGGGUCUGAGAGGAUGAUCCGCCACACUGGGACUGAGACACGGCCCAGACUCCGACGGGAGGCAGCAGGGUGGAAUAUUGGACAAUGGGCGGAAGCCUGAUCCAGCCAUGCCGCGUGUGUGAAGAAGGCCUUUUGGUUGUAAAGCACUUUAAGCGAGGAGGAGGCUACCUGGAUUAAUACUCUAGGAUAGUGGACGUUACUCGCAGAAUAAGCACCGGCUAACUCUGUGCCAGCAGCCGCCGUAACAC
rnacentral:rRNA from 1 species